UUUGGUGGCGAUGCGCUUAGGGGUAACACCCGUUCCCAUCCCGAACACGAUGGUAAAGACCUAAGCGGCCGAUGGUACUGCACUGGAGACGGUGUGGGAGAGUAGGUGGCCGCCAAAU
rnacentral:rRNA from 18 species